UACGAAGGGUGCAAGCGUUACUCGGAAUUACUGGGCGUAAAGCGUGCGUAGGUGGUUUGUUAAGUCUGAUGUGAAAGCCCUGGGCUCAACCUGGGAAUUGCAUUGGAUACUGGCAAACUUGAGGGAGGCAGAGGAAAGUGGAAUUCCCGGUGUAGUGGUGAUAUGCGUAGAUAUCGGGAGGAACACCAGUGGCGAAGGCGGCUUUCUGGGCCUUACCUGACGCUGAGACGCGAAAGCGUGGGGAGCGAACAGG
rnacentral:rRNA from 1 species